AUCUCUGAAAACUUAAGUGGAAAGUAUACUAUCUGUGGUGGAAAGUAGGUUGAAAUCUGCCAACUGCCAGCUGGGCGGAUCCGAAAUAUUUAUAUUUUUUAAUAACUUAAAUUUAUACAUAUUAUAGCGUCGCUUUCAAAAAUUGCUUUAUUAUUAAUUGAUUAUUAAAAUUGUGAAAGUUUUUAGUUACAUAGCGAGCAUAAUAAUUAAUAUUUAAUGAGCGAGCCAGUGGCCGCAGUCACGCGCACGGGUCUCGCUGCUACUGAAGGAUUGGCAUCCAUUACACAUAGCAAGAGAAGAAGGAAAAAAAUGGACAAAGAAGAUGAUAAUAGAGCACGAAGAGCUUAACGAAGGAAAGAAUAGCAAGGGAAGCGAGCUGAAUAUACAAAAAAACUGAAGGCUGUUUAACAAAAGCGAGAUCAGGCAUCAGGAAAGCCGCUCCUCAAUGUUUAUAACCAAUAAAUGCACAAACGACGUGGCUAAUACUGCGCUGUGUGCGCGCCUCGGUGACUAAUUGCGAUGGACGAUAAAGAUCUUAGAUUUACAUUAAUUGAGUGAUGUGAGUAUUUAAUUAAAUUUACGGUAUACGGUAAUAUAAAAAUAAUUGUUCAAUAUUAUAAACUUUCAUCUUUCUCUUUUAUUCUAAUCUCAUGUUAUAUCGUAGGCAAAGUCCAAGACGGAUAAAUCUUUUUGCUCCUUUGAAAAUUGUCUGAAAUAUUUUACUCGGCAGAGCAAACCGUGGUUCAUGUUCAU